UACAGAGGGGGCAAGCGUUAUUCGGAAUUAUUGGGCGUAAAGGGCUCGUAGGCGGUCCGUCACGUCGGGAGUGAAAACUCAGGGCUCAACCCUGAGCGUGCUUCCGAUACGGGCGGACUAGAGGUAUGCAGGGGAGAACGGAAUUCCUGGUGUAGCGGUGGAAUGCGCAGAUAUCAGGAGGAACACCGGUGGCGAAGGCGGUUCUCUGGGCAUUACCUGACGCUGAGGAGCGAAAGCAUGGGGAGCGAACAGG
rnacentral:rRNA from 1 species